rnacentral:lncRNA from 1 species
AGACUCUUAACACCAACCUCAAGACCAUCUCUUCUAGCUCAGGAAGAGAGUCUGUUGACACAACAGGAUCCCUAUUUUGUCCUGAUUAUCCAUCUUUAGGUAAAUACUACCUAGUGACUGUUUUAGACAUUACAUGAAUCUGUUGACAACUUCAGCUGUACUUCAUAUAAAGGAAAAUCAGCCUGUUUUGCAAACCUUGUUAAUGCUGAUUAUUAUCAGUAAAUGUUUGGUUUUUAUACCUAUUUUAUAUAUCUACUAGCUGUGCCCGGCCACGCGUUGCUGUGGCGUUGUCUGGUGGUGUUGGUGAGAAAUUGUUGAGGUAGUGGUGGUAUUGAAUGUUUGUUGUAUGAUUGUCUUUAGUAUGCAUUUGGUUGUUUGUGUACUGUGAAAGUGGUGAGGGUAGAGGGGGUCUAUGUCCCUGUGUAGUAUUGUAUAGUAUUUAUACGUUGUCCAUGUGUUGUGAAUGCUUGGAUUGUGUACUGUGAAAGUGGUGAGGGUAGAGGGGGGUCUAUGUCCCUGUGUUGUAUUGUAUAGUAUUUAUACGUUGUCCAUGUGUUGUGAAUGCUUGGAUUGUGUCCUGCUGCAUAGUAGAAAGGGUUGGGCUGGAUGGCCCUUAGGGGUCUCUCCAAACUCUUGUGCCUGUCCCCUGGGCUGAGUCGGUUGCUAGGAGACCAAGUGGGCGGAACUUAGCCUUCUAACUGGCAGCAAUUGGAUAAAAACAAUUACUCCUCUCCCUCUAAUUAGGACUUUAUUUUUCUUUUCUUUUUGUUGUAUCAACCUAGAGCCAUGGAUGAUGGGUUGUGUUGUCAAAUUUUGAGGUUGGGGGGCCUGUAGUUUUGUUGUUUUGUCCGCUGCCCUGAUGCCAUCACUCUUUUAUAUAUAUAGAUAUCUGUUGAUAGAAAUGCUUUUGUGAGCAAACGUGUUGUGUGGUAAUUUCUCCUCUUUCCUGCAGCCUCCAUAUAACUUCUCGGGGACCAAGUUUCAACUGAUGAUUGAAAAGAGUAGGGAAAAAAAAUCCAUUGCACAAGUAUUGGUACAUACAAUGAUGUUGGGUAUAAGGCCAUAGUUGCUAGUUCCAUUGCUAUUAUAUCUUAUAAAAGGACUCACUAUUUUCCAGUUUCUCAAAAGUAACAAACAGACUUGGUUCAAAACAUUAUCUUCCCAUCUAUCUGAUCACCCCACCUUAAGCAGCUACAACUGAACACAAGGCACUGCCUCAAGCAAUUGCUCAAAUCAUUUAAAACUCUUUGUACACAUCCCCAUACAUAAUUGAGCAAACUGAAUCCAAACAAAAUAAAAUACCACAAUUGUACUACAGGAUAUAUGAUGUUCUUUCUUGUUAAAAUCAUUAUAUAGUGUGACUAUGCUUUCUUUAUGGGGAAAAUGAACGAAUUACAAGUAACAAGUAAUUCU